CCCAUGCAUUUUCAGAUUUUCAAUAUUCAAAGAAUAAUGUAACUACUUUGCAGUGAAAGGGGUGAUAACUGAACGUUUAUGUGAAUUAUAUGUAAUUGUACCAAUAACAGUACAUUAACUACAUAUUUGUACUUCUGAACUAAACAAUGGAAUCCGAAGAAUAUUUGGGCGAGGAAUCUGUUAAUCCUUUAGCUUUUCUAGGUCUAAAAAGGGUUGGAAUAGAAACUGAGAUGUCGAAUAAGAAAUCUACUCCCAUAGAAAUGGAACUUAACAGUCGUGGAUUGCCGGCCAGGAAACGGAAGAAGAAUUCUUUAAUAUUCGGCAGCGAUGAUCUAGUCAGGAAGCAAAAAUAAUAUUUAAAAACAAAUUAAUCCUUAUUUA